AUGGCGAGGAGCGCGCGCUCGAUGGCGUUCUUUGUGCUCGUCGCCGUGGCCGUCCGAGCCAUCUCCGCCGUCACCGACGGGCUGUUGCCCAACGGGGACUUCGCGCAGGGGCCGGACAGGUCGGAGAUGAACGGCACGGUGGUGACCGCGCGCCACGCCAUACCGCGCUGGGAGAUCUCCGGGUUCGUGGAGUACAUCGCGCCCGGGCACAGGGAGGAGGACAUGAUCCUGCCGUUGCCGCCCGGCGCGUCGGCCGUGCGGCUGGGCAACGACGCCACCAUCCGGCAGCAGCUCAACGUCAGCCGCCACAUGUUCUAUUCCGUCUCCUUCAUGGCCGCGCGGUCGUGCGCCCAGGCCGAGAAGCUCAACGUGUCGGUCGACCCCGAGUUCGGCCUGCUCCCGAUCCAGACCGUGUACACCAGCACCGGCUGGGACACCUACUCCUGGGCCUUCAAGGCCAGGCACGGCACCGGGUGGCUGACCAUCCACAACACCGGCGUCGAGGAGGACCCGGCGUGCGGCCCCCUCCUGAUCGCCGUCGCCAUCAAGACCCUCUACGCCCCCCACCACACCAAGGGUAACAUGCUGAGGAACGGGGACUUCGAGCAGGGGCCGUACAUCUUCCCCGGCACCCGGUGGGGCGUGCUGGUGCCGCCGAUCACGGAGGACGUGCACUCGCCGCUGUCGGGCUGGACUGUCAUGUCGGACACCAAGGUGGUCAAGUACGUGGACGCGCCGCACCACGCGGUGCCGCGGGGCGCGCGCGCCGUGGAGCUGGUGGCCGGCCGGGAGAGCGCGCUGGUGCAGGAGGUGCGCACCGUGCCGGGGCGGACGUACAGGCUCUCCUUCGCCGUGGGGGACGCCGCCAACGGCUGCAGCGGGUCCCUGGUGGUGGAGGCGUACGCGGGGCGGGGGACCCUGAGGGUGCCCUAUGAGUCCCUCGGCACGGGCGGCUCCACGCCCGCGGCGCUCGAGUUCACGGCCGUCGCCAACGAGACGCGCGUGGUGUUCCAGAGCUCCAGCCACCUCAUGAAGUCCGACGCCACGCUGUGCGGGCCCGUCGUCGACGACGUCUCCCUCGUCCCGGUGCGCGUGCACGCUGCCCGCCGGCUGCGUUUGUAG
rnacentral:rRNA from 1 species